rnacentral:rRNA from 1 species
CAGCCGCCACGGGAAUACGAAGGGGGCUAGCGUUGUUCGGAUUUACUGGGCGUAAAGGGCGCGUAGGCGGACUGAUAAGUCAGGGGUGAAAUCCCAAGGCUCAACCUUGGAACUGCCUUUGAUACUGUUUGUCUUGAGUUCGAGAGAGGUAAGUGGAACUGCGAGUGUAGAGGUGAAAUUCGUAGAUAUUCGCAAGAACACCAGUGGCGAAGGCGGCUUACUGGCUCGAAACUGACGCUGAGGCGCGAAAGCGUGGGGAGCAAACAGGAUUAGAUACCCCCGUAGUCCCUGUCUCUUAUAC